UGUCAAUUGACGUGCCCCGGUGGUGUGUUGUGUUUUGGUUCAUCCCGAUUUCGGGAAUGUUUUGCGUCCGUUCUUUGUCUGUAUGGGGGUUUUUCUCUCUCUAAAGAUCAUCGCUGUAAAAAUACCGAAUCGUUAAGUGUGCAGUCAACAGGAAAGAACAAAACUGAAGAACCGGGAUAUUGCUGGACAAAAGCACAACGUGCCCGCAACGCACGUUGCCUGCUGCUAUCGGUUCAUCGUGCAAGAAACAGAUCGUAAAUCAUGGCGCUACUCGCACCACGGGGCGGAUGUAAAUGAGUGUGCUGCGCCAUCCUUGACACUCGAGUAAUGUGUGUGCACGACCGCGCUCUCUACCCCGCAGUUGCCCAAACGGUAUAAAAAAUUGCAUUGAAAGCGCUUGCUUGAAGCUUUAAUAUUGCCUCCGUGCACGUCAUCGCCCCCGGUGCCUGUGACAGCAGCUUCCGGCAGAUGGAUACGCACCCGUCAAUCAGUCACUUCGGCCUGCGUCUGCUCGUAUUCGGGCACAUCAAAAUGAUUUUUUCACAGAACCUCGUACGAAUUCGAACGUAGUGCUAAAAGGCCAACAAAAACCGGCGGAUCUCAUACAGAUAUCCUUCUAGAAACUCCAUCUCGAAGACGACCAACCAGCGAACUAAUCCAGUGAAAAAAGGCGCUUAAGAAAAUAAGCACACUUUUUAAAAAUCAUAUUUGAUCCCGCCCGCUGACAGUACUCCAUCAUUUAUUAAUCUGGCGAACGCGUGGUAUGAAGCAGGACUGUGGCCCCAACAUUUCUGACACAUAAAGCCACUGUCUUUGCGCUCGCCAGUCGCUACUCACGCGUGCAAUAAACGGUAUG